GUGCCAGCAGCCGCGGUAAAACGUAGGACGCUAGCGUUAUCCGGAUUUAUUGGGCGUAAAGCGCGUCUAGGCGGCGUCUUAAGUUGGGCGUGAAAUCUUCCGGCUCAACCGGAAGGGGCCGUCCAAUACUGAGACGCUUGAGGGCAGCAGGGGGAGGUGGAAUCCCCGGUGUAGCGGUGGAAUGCGUAGAUAUCGGGAGGAACACCAGUGGCGAAGGCGGCCUCCUGGGCUGUACCUGACGCUGAAGCGCGAAAGCGUGGGGNGCAAACGGGAUUACGAUACCCCGGUAGUCCACGCUGUAAACGAUGGAUACUAGGUGUAGGUGGUAUUCGACCCCAUCAGCUGCCGCAGCUAACGCGUUAAGUAUCCCGCCGUGGGGACUACGCGCCGCAAG
rnacentral:rRNA from 1 species